UACGGAGGGUGCAAGCGUUAAUCGGAAUUACUGGGCGUAAAGCGUGCGUAGGUGGUUCGUUAAGUCCGUUGUGAAAGCCCCGAGCUCAACUUGGGAAUUGCAGUGGAUACUGGCGAGCUGGAGUGCGGUAGAGGAAGGUGGAAUUCCCGGUGUAGCGGUGAAAUGCAUAGAGAUCAGGAGGAACACCAGUGGCGAAGGCGGCCUUCUGGACCAGCACUGACACUCAAGCACGAAAGCGUGGGGAGCAAACAGG
rnacentral:rRNA from 1 species